rnacentral:rRNA from 1 species
CAGAGGCUAUUGCUAUSWSGSWUUGACUAAGCCAUGCGAGUCGAGAGGUGAAAGACCUCGGCAUACUGCUCAGUAACACGUGGAUAAUCUGCCCUCAGGUGAGGAAUAAUCCCGGGAAACUGGGGCUAAUGCCUCAUAGGAGACGGGUGCUGGAAUGCUCUGUCUCCGAAAGGUCCGCCGCCUGAGGAUGAGUCUGCGUCCGAUUAGGUUGUUGUUGGGGUAACGGCCCAACAAGCCUUUGAUCGGUACGGGUUGUGGGAGCAAGAGCCCGGAGAUGGAUUCUGAGACAUGAAUCCAGGCCCUACGGGGCGCAGCAGGCGCGAAAACUUUACAAUGCGAGCAAUCGUGAUAAGGAAACCCUGAGUGCCUGUCAAUGCAGGCUGUUCUGGUGUCUAACACACACCAGGAGAAAGGGCGGGGCAAGACCGGUGCCAGCCGCCGCGGUAAUACCGGCUGCUCGAGUGAUAGCCACUUUUACUGGGCUUAAAGCGUUCGUAGCUUGGUCGUUAAGUCUCUGGGGAAAUCUUUUGGCUCAACCAAAAGGCGUCUCAGGGAAACUGACGAUCUUGGAACCGGGAGAGGUAAGACGUACUUCGGGGGUAGGAGUGAAAUCUUGUAAUCCCCGAGGGACGACCGAUGGCGAAGGCAUCUUACCAGAACGGCUUCGACAGUGAGGGACGAAAGCUGGGGGAGCAAACCGGAUUAGAUACCCGGGUAGUCCCAGCCGUAAACGAUGUGCGUUAGGUGUGUCAGUGACCACGAGUCGCUGAGGUGCCGAAAGGGAAACCGUGAAACGCACCGCCUGGGAAGUACGGUCGCAAGGCUGAAMYUAAAGGAAUUGGCGGGRGMRCACUCMSAWCGGGUGGAGCCUGCGGUUUAAUG